AUUGAACGCUGGCGGCAUGCCUUACACAUGCAAGUCGAACGGCAGCGGACCUUCGGGUGCCGGCGAGUGGCGAACGGGUGAGUAAUAUAUCGGAACGUACCUUUCAGUGGGGGAGUAACGUAGCGAAAGUUACGCUAAUACCGCAUAUUCUGUGAGCAGGAAAGCAGGGGAUCGCAGGACCUUGCGCUGAUUGAGCGGCCGAUAUCAGAUUAGCUAGUUGGUGAGGUAAAGGCUCACCAAGGCGACGAUCUGUAGCGGGUCUGAGAGGAUGAUCCGCCACACUGGAACUGAGACACGGUCCAGACUCCUACGGGAGGCAGCAGU
rnacentral:rRNA from 1 species